rnacentral:lncRNA from 1 species
UAAAAGUUUUAAUAAAUAUUACACAAAACAUAUUAAUAAUACAAAUACAAAUCAUGAACGAGAAAAAACCGAUUAGUUGAAAUCUUGAGGAGUUCCAAACUUUUGCCAUAUAUUCUCAACCAAAUCAGCUUUCAGUCGUUGAUGUAUUUGGUUAUCACGGAUUUCAUUCCGAAUGGUCAGCAUGCCCAUAACAUUAUGGAGAUUUGUAGGCAUCUGUGUUGAAAAGUUUAAAUCGACAUGUGAACUUCGGCUUGAUUCCGGUUGUUCGAAAACUGAUACAUCAGUAAGAGUGUACUUGUCUCGUUCAUCUUCCACGAUCAUAUUAUGAAGAAUGAUACAUGCUCUCAUUAUCUUUCCAAUUUUUAUUUUAUCCCACAAAAGAGCUGGAUUUUUGACAAUGGCAAAUCGAGCUUGCAAGACCCCAAAAGCACGCUCGACAUCUUUACGAACAGCUUCUUGCUUUGUAGCAAAUAAGGAUGCUUUUGGACCUUGCGGUUCUCGAAUAGAUUGGACAAAAGUAG